UAAAUAUCGUCGUUUAAAGUAAAAAACUGCGUAUCUGACAUUUGCUGCCAAUAAGCUCUUGACUCAAUCGUUAUCCAUUCGACCUGAGAUAUACCAGCCAGAAAUGCGUUUGCUUU